rnacentral:rRNA from 1 species
UGCAGUCGUGCGAGAAGUAUCUUCGGAUAUGAGUAGAGCGGCGGACGGGUGAGUAACGCGUAGGAAUCUACCUAGUAGAAGGGGAUAGCCCGGGGAAACUCGGAUUAAUACCGUAUACCUCCUUAGGGAGAAAGAGGGCCUCUCUUGAUGCUCUCGCUAUUAGAUGAGCCUGCGUAAGAUUAGCUUGUUGGUGAGGUAAUGGCUCACCAAGGCUACGAUCUUUAGCUGGUCUGAGAGGACGAUCAGCCACAUUGGGACUGAGACACGGCCCAGACUCCUACGGGAGGCAGCAGUGGGGAAUAUUGGACAAUGGGCGCAAGCCUGAUCCAGCCAUACCGCGUGUGUGAAGAAGGCUCUAGGGUUGUAAAGCACUUUAAGCAGGGAGAAAAAGUUAUAAGUUAAUACCUUAUAACCGUGAUGUUACCUGCAGAAUAAGCACCGGCUAAUUCCAUGCCAGCAGCCGCGGUAAUACGGAAGGUGCAAGCGUUAAUCGGAAUUACUGGGCGUAAAGCGCGCGUAGGUGGUUUGUUAAGUUGGAUGUGAAAGCCCUGGGCUCAACCUAGGAACUGCAUCCAAAACUAACUCACUAGAGUACGAUAGAGGGAGGUAGAAUUCAUAGUGUAGCGGUGGAAUGCGUAGAUAUUAUGAAGAAUACCAGUGGCGAAGGCGGCCUCCUGGAUCUGUACUGACACUGAGGUGCGAAAGCGUGGGUAGCGAACAGGAUUAGAUACCCUGGUAGUCCACGCCGUANACGAUGACAACUAGCUGUUGGGAGACAAUGUCUUUCAGUGGCGCAGCUAACGUUUUAAGUUGUCCGCCUGGGGAGUACGGCCCGCAGGCUAAAACUCAAAUGAAUUGA